UACGGAGGGUGCGAGCGUUGUCCGGAAUCACUGGGCGUAAAGGGCGCGUAGGCGGCAGGCCAAGCGUGCGGUGAAAGUCCGGGGCUCAACCCCGGAUCUGCCGUGCGGACUGGUUUGCUAGAGCACUGUAGAGGCGAGUGGAAUUCCGGGUGUAGCGGUGGAAUGCGUAGAGAUCCGGAAGAACACCGGUGGCGAAGGCGGCUCGCUGGGCAGUGGCUGACGCUGAGGCGCGACAGCGUGGGGAGCGAACCGG
rnacentral:rRNA from 1 species